rnacentral:rRNA from 1 species
GACGAAGGUGGCUAGCGUUGUUCGGUAUUACUGGGCUUAAAGCGUGUGUAGGUGGAAAGGUAAGCGUCCUGUGAAAGCCCCCGGCUUAACCGGGGAAUUGCGUGACGAACUGCUUUUCUUGAGGCAAGUAGGGGUGCAUGGAACUCUUGGUGGAGCGGUGGAAUGCGUAGAUAUCAAGAGGAACGCCAGCGGUGAAAACGGUGCACUGGGCUUGUCCUGACACUGAGACACGAAAGCGUGGGGAGCGAACGGGAUUAGAUACCCCAGUA